rnacentral:rRNA from 1 species
GACGAACGCUGGCGGCGUGCUUAACACAUGCAAGUCGAGCGGGAAACUUCGGUUUCCAGCGGCGGACGGGUGAGUAACACGUGGGCAACCUGCCUCACAAUGAGGGAUAGCCCUCCGAAAGGAGGAUUAAUACCUCAUAACACAAGAGAAACGCAUGUUUCUCUUGCCAAAGAAUUUCGUUGUGAGAUGGGCCCGCGGCGCAUUAGCUUGUUGGUGAGGUAACGGCUCACCAAGGCUUCGAUGCGUAGCCGACCUGAGAGGGUGAUCGGCCACAUUGGAACUGAGACACGGUCCAGACUCCUACGGGAGGCAGCAGUGGGGAAUAUUGCACAAUGGAGGAAACUCUGAUGCAGCAACGCCGCGUGAGUGAUGAAGGUCUUCGGAUUGUAAAGCUCUGUCUUCUGGGACGAUAAUGACGGUACCAGAGGAGGAAGCCACGGCUAACUACGUGCCAGCCGCCGCUGUAAUAC